AGUGAACGCUGGCGGUAGGCCUAACACAUGCAAGUCGAACGGCAGCACAGUAAGAGCUUGCUCUUACGGGUGGCGAGUAGCGGACGGGUGAGGAAUACAUCGGCAUCUACUUUUUCGUGGGGGAUAACGUAGGGCAACUUACGCUACUACCUCAUACGACCUACGGGUGAAAGCAGGGGAUCUUCGGACCUUUCGCGAUUAAAUUAGCCGAUGUCGGAUUCGCUAGUUGGCGGGGUAAAGGCCCACCAAGGCGACGGUCCGUAGCGGGUCUGAGAGGAUGAUCAGCCACACUGGAAGUGAGACACGGCCCAGACUCCUAGGGGAGGCAGCAGUGGGGAAUAUUGGACGAUGGGGGAAAGCCUGAUCCAGCAAUACCGCGUGGGUGAAGAAGGACUUCGGGUUGUAAAGCCAUUUUGUUGGGAAAGAAAAGCAGCAGGUUAAUACCCCGCUGUUCUGACGGUACCUAAAGAGUAAGCACCGGCUAACUUCGUG
rnacentral:rRNA from 1 species